UGAUUAGUGAUCCAAUGAUCCACCAAUCUGCAAGACCAUCGCCUACAGUGCACGCUCUACCACGCCUCGCGUACCCACGUCAGGAAAGAAAUCCUCAUCCUCGCAGCUCUGCUUAACAAAAACACUCUGCACUCCCACUGCAAAUCCCCAAGCCAACACCUGGAGAAAUGGUAGUUUCUCUCAGGCUACCGACUCUCGCCUCCCUCUUUUUCUCCUCUCCAUCGAUACGUCGGUCACCAGCGUUUUCUGGACGUCGCCUGUAUUUCCGUCCGCCGCCUCUAACGGCUUCCUUCUGCGCUCAGAGCGCGGCGUCGAGCCCUCCUGAGACGGAGGACCGAGUUAAUAACCUCAAGAGUCGUGUCAACCAGGACCGAGUCAUUACUCCCCGAUCUCAAGAUUUCAAUGCUUGGUAUCUUGAUGUUAUUGCCAACGCCGAGCUCGCUGAUUAUGGUCCUGUCCGUGGUACUAUGGUCAUUCGUCCUUAUGGAUAUGCUAUCUGGGAGGCUAUCCAGGAUUAUUUGAAUGUUAAGUUCAAGGAGACAGGGCACAGCAAUAUGUAUUUCCCACAGUUCAUACCUUAUUCAUUUAUUGAGAAGGAAGCUAGUCAUGUUGAGGGCUUCAGUCCAGAAUUGGCUCUGGUAACUAUUGGUGGAGGAAAGGAACUUGAAGAAAAACUUGUGGUUCGACCAACUAGUGAAACCAUAGUGAAUCACAUGUUUACUCAGUGGAUUCAUAGCUACCGAGAUCUUCCUCUCAUGGUCAACCAGUGGGCAAAUGUCACAAGAUGGGAGAUGCGCACAAAACCAUUUGUGAGGACUCUUGAAUUUCUGUGGCAAGAGGGUCAUACAGCUCAUGCGACUCUAGAGGAGGCAGAAAAAGAGGCAUUACUGAUGAUUGACGUCUAUACAAAAUUUGCUUAUGCGCAAGCUGCAAUACCUGUUAUUGCAGGUCGAAAAUCAAAGGUGGAAACCUUUGCUGGUGCUGUUAGGACAUAUACAAUAGAGGCUAUGAUGGGCGAUCAGAAGGCUUUACAGGCUGGAACCAGUCACAACCUUGGUCAAAAUUUCUCUCGGGCUUUUGGAACACAGUUCACUGAUGAAAAUGGACAAAGGCAGCAUGUCUGGCAGACAUCAUGGGCCAUCAGUACCCGCUUUGUUGGUGGUAUUAUCAUGACACAUGGAGAUGAUGCUGGCCUAAUGCUUCCCCCUAAAAUUGCUCCAAUACAGGUAGUGAUUGUACCGAUUUGGAAGAAAGAAAAUGAGAAAGCUGGAGUUCUCAAUGCAGCAUCAUCUGUGAAAGAAGUUUUGCAAUCUACUGGUAUCAAAGUUAAACUUGAUGACUCAGAUCAGAGAACCCCAGGAUGGAAGUUCAAUUUCUGGGAGAUGAAGGGAGUUCCUCUGAGGAUUGAAAUUGGUCCACGGGAUGUUUCAAGUGGAAGUGUGGUUAUAUCUAGGAGAGAUGUUCCUGGAAAGCAAGGGAAAGUAUUUGGAAUAUCUAUGGACCCUUCAAUUUUAGAAGCUUAUGUCAAGGACAAGUUGGAUGAAAUCCAGUCAUCCCUUCUAAGUAGAGCAACAUCAUUUCGGGAUAGUAACAUUGUGGAUGUGAGCUCAUAUGAUGAACUCAAAGCUGCAAUAUCCCUUGGCAAAUGGGCAAGGGGUCCUUGGUCAGCUAGUGAUGCAGAUGAAUUAAAGGUGAAAGAAGAAACAGGAGCAACAAUUCGGUGUUUUCCCUUUGAACAACCUCAAGGGACUAAAACAUGCUUGAUGACUGGCAAGCCAGCAGAAGAAGUUGCAAUUUUUGCUAAAUCUUAUUGAUUUUCAAGGCAUUACUCCUUUUCAAAGAUUUGAUCUUGUUUGGGGGAGCAUUAUGAGUUAUGGUUAUCUACCAAGCUGGAUGAACAGAUUGCUGCCAAUUCUUGCCUCAUCUUUCUUGGCCCGCUUACAAGAACUCCUACACUGUCUCCUUUGCACUCCAAUAAUAUUUCUGUAAGAAUCAACAAUUUAGGAAUUUAGACUAUAAUGACAUACAUACAUGUAGUUCUUAUUUGUCAUUUUUUUUGCAUUUUAAUUUUGCUGUAUUUCAUUACACUUGGUUACUUCUAACUGUACACUGAAUAUAUUUGGUGAAUCUUAAGGUUUAUAGAGAAAGUGUGAGGAAAAUAGCUUACUUUUUAAGUUCGGCCUUUCACCUUGGUGCACCCUGGUGGCUUGGAGAAGAGAUUGGUGAGGAAGGCUUUCCAACUCUCUGUCAGCAUGGCGGGACUGCAAACCUGGGGACAUUCCUGGUGUUGGCAUAUCUGUGUUCUGAAUUUGCUUGAUUUCCUUGGCAUUCUGUUUCUUGUUCCAAAGAAAUGCUGCAGAGGCAGCCAUCACUAUGGAGAUGCUUAUAAAGAAUAGGUUUAAAGCAGCCCUUGCAGGCAAAGAGUAUAUCAUAUCAGUAUUAUGGUCAAUUGGAUAUAUGUAGUAUCUUGUGAGAGUGGUGAUGAGGAUAAGGAAGAUGAUGAAAGAAGCUGAAAUUAUUGCACCAAGCCAAAGCCAGCUAUUUGGACCUAGGACUGCAGAGACUGGCACAUCUGAUACGUCAGGCUUGAACCAUAUUGUUCUGAGGAGCUUCUGUGGAUCUGCUUGGGCCAAUUUCUCUCUGGUAACGUAGGCUUCAAUUUGUAACUGCAAAUGGGAGAUGUCAAAGGUGGUGCCUGUAACUGGGAGUAGAAGCUCUAGCAUGGUGAGAUCCACAGAUUUCUUGAAAGCACAUACGAGGAGAAGCCUCGGGGUCCUGCCAUUCGUUGUAUUGGCUAGAAAUAGGAUCUCACGUGUGAUGGAGAUAAAAGGGGUUAUCCCACUUCCUCCACUAACCAUCACUAGCAAGUCAUGCCUGCAGAAACACUCUCCAUGUUAAUUCAGGCACAUCAAACGUGUGAUAGAAUGUCUUCAAAAUUUGUUUAGAGAGCAAUCACCUCAUAAAAUGAGUUGAAGCAGGACCAUAGGGUCCUUCAAAGGAGACCUGAAGGCGGUCUAUUGGAGCAGGGGAUGACAGCAUCUGAUACAACUUGUGAGACCAAUUGCCUUCACAUUUGAUGACUAUGCUCAACUUUUCAGGAUCCAUAUUGCUGCUGGUUGUGAUUGUAAAGGGAUGCCAUUGUACCUUGGAUAUUCUAGGUACAUUUACAAAUGCGGUGCUUCUUGGAGCAUAGUGCAAUCCUGGCACAGGUUGAACUUCAAUUGCACAUAAAUAGAUUUGCAUAAGAAAUCAUCUAGUUACAAGGGUUAAACCUCACCUGGGUUCUUGGAGAAAUUUAGCUCUACAGUUUCACAGGGCAAAAUUCGUGCUGAAACCAAGCGAAUUCUCUGUUGGGAUUGUAAUAACCUCAAGUAUCGAUCGAUCAUGAAGAGGUAGAAACCAGGAAGGAUAAUGCAAGCACGAGAGAAGCAAACAUGAAACACAUAGAAGACAACAAAAGGAAUAUACAGGUGAUGACUAUAGAAGAAGAGCUCGAAAAUCUUUCGUCUUAUGCGUUUUAAGCUUGUGACCCACAUGAUCAAUCCAGAAAGCAAAGCUAUUUCGCCGGCCACAUUCGAAAUAAAGUGCUUGUCCCAUUUUAGCAUCUGCCAUCCAGGAGGGAUACUUGAAUUUUCAAAAUUAUUCAAAGCUGAAACGCAACAUUUCUCCAAGUGAUUUGGGGAUUGAAGCUUUUACCUGAGACAAUUGAUGGGUUUUGCCCCAAAAAAUAAUAUAGCAUAAGCCGUGGGCGGUGAAGAUAGUCAUGGCAAUAUGGCCUAGCCAUAUAUGGUACUUGAUACUGGCUUCUGAGGUGAGGCCAAGAAUCUGCAAAACUGAGGAGCCUCUGGCUAUUGGGAAGAAGAGAAAGACCAGACAGACAUUCCCAACUAAUCCCAGAGAUAAAGCUGAUAUUUCCAACUUGACUUCCCACCUGCCAAAACGCCCAAAUAAAUGAAAUGAAACUAAAGUUGAAAGAUUGUGGAAAAACGGGAAAAGUUGUAGAAAGAAAUCCUUACACUUGGAAUCCCAAAGAUGCAGCCGUAGGAGCAGCAUACGCGAACAUGGCUUGCAAGUAAGAAUACAAUGACCACACCAUUAACGCAAAGAACAUACCCAAUAAUGAUAGCUCUAUCCCCGUCACAAUCCCAAGGGGACCUUUCGCGAGCACCGGACGUUUGCACCAGGCAAACAAAGAAUGAACUUUGCUGUUUCCAAGAACCCAUUAACUUUAUUAGUAAAGCAGAGAUUAAUCAAACAUAGAGCAUAUUAAUAUAUGUAUCUUUAUUA